rnacentral:rRNA from 1 species
GAUGAACGCUAGCGGCGUGCCUAAUACAUGCAAGUCGAGCGAACGGACGAGAAGCUUGCUCCUCUGACGUUAGCGGCGGACGGGUGAGUAACACGUGGAUAACCUACCUAUAAGACUGGGAUAACUUCGGGAAACCGUAGCUAAUACCGGAUAAUAUUUUGAACCGCAUGGUUCAAUAGUGAAAGACGGUUUUGCUGUCACUUAUAGAUGGAUCCGCGCUGCAUUAGCUAGUUGGUAAGGUAACGGCUUACCAAGGCGACGAUGCGUAGCCGACCUGAGAGGGUGAUCGGCCACACUGGAACUGAGACACGGUCCAGACUCCUACGGGAGGCAGCAGUAGGGAAUCUUCCGCAAUGGGCGAAAGCCUGACGGAGCAACGCCGCGUGAGUGAUGAAGGUCUUCGGAUCGUAAAACUCUGUUAUUAGGGAAGAACAAAUGUGUAAGUAACUGUGCACGUCUUGACGGUACCUAAUCAGAAAGCCACGGCUAACUACGUG